rnacentral:rRNA from 1 species
UACGGGGGGAGCAAGCGUUGUUCGGAUUUACUGGGCGUAAAGGGCGCGUAGGCGGCGUGACAAGUCACUUGUGAAAUCUCCGGGCUUAACCCGGAGCGGUCAAGUGAUACUGUCGUGCUAGAGUGCGGAAGGGGCUACUGGAAUUCUCGGUGUAGCGGUGAAAUGCGUAGAUAGUCGAGAGGAACACCCUGCGGCGAAGGCGGGUAGCUGGGCCGACACGUGACGCUGGAUGCGCGAAAGCCCAGGGGAGCGAACGGG